UGGCGGCCCAGCUGCAGUGCAACAAACGCUCCUUCUCGGACCAGCCCAAAGUCACGGUACUGCCCCCUCCACAACCUUGAGUGUGAUGGUCCCAAUGGGGUAGAGCCGGCUGGACCAUCAGCCAGGGUGUGGGAGAGUGAGGCUCCAGAGGGCAGGGGUUUUGGGGGUAGGGUCCCCCAGGGUGCAGGCUUGGCCUCAAGAUGGCCGCCCAGACUUAGGCUCACAAAGACCUGGGUGUGACCCUGGUCUCCUGUGUCCCAGCCCUGGCCCCUGGGCGCAGACCCCCAGUCCCGAGAUGCCCGCCAGCAACGCUUCGCCCACUUCACGGAGCUGGCCAUCAUCUCAGUCCAGGAGAUCGUGGACUUCGCCAAGCAAGUGCCUGGUUUCCUGCAGCUGGGCCGGGAGGACCAGAUCGCCCUCCUGAAGGCAUCCACUAUCGAGAUUAUGCUGCUGGAGACAGCCAGGCGCUACAACCACGAGACAGAGUGUAUCACCUUCUUGAAGGACUUCACCUACAGCAAGGACGACUUCCACCGUGCAGGCCUGCAGGUGGAGUUCAUCAACCCCAUCUUCGAGUUCUCGCGGGCCAUGCGGCGGCUGGGCCUGGACGACGCUGAGUACGCCCUGCUCAUCGCCAUCAACAUCUUCUCGGCCGACCGGCCCAACGUGCAGGAGCCGGGCCGCGUGGAGGCGCUGCAGCAGCCCUACGUGGAGGCGCUGCUGUCCUACACGCGCAUCAAGAGGCCGCAGGUAGGGCCCCGCAGAGCCUCUGCGCAGAGCCAGCUACGCCCCGCGGCCCACGUGGUCCGUCCAGGCUGGGCUCCGCCAGCCGCACUGCCGUCUCCUCCGCAGUCUUUCCUCAGGCCCCACCC
rnacentral:sRNA from 1 species